UCAAGGACACAUCUAAAACCUGCAGGACACCGGCCCUUGAGGCCUGGAGAUCCCCACCCUUGGUUUAGUGAAAGUGGCCACUCCAUUUGUUGGUUUACUACUGAAGGGACUGCUAAUAUACCUAUGUUAAGCAGCAGGACCAAAACUCUUAAGAAGAAAAGGGCUUGAUGUCAAUGGAGUCGUAUGCCAGGUUGAAUUCUGCCUUUUCAUCUGCCUUGCAGCUCCUUUGGUGUCACGUUCUCAUCUCCUCCUCGUCCUCUUCUGUUCUCUAAAAUAAA